rnacentral:rRNA from 1 species
UCUAUAGGGACCAUAGCAUGAAAUGUGGAGUGUGAUAAAAUAUCUGUCUCAAAGAUUAAGCCAUAUCACAUAUUACUGAUAAGUCAAUUGUACUGCGAAACUGCGAAUGGCUCAUUAAAUCAGUUAUCGUCUAUUUGAUAGUACCUUACUACUUGGAUAACCGUGGUAAUUCUAGAGCUAAUACAUGCUGAAAACCCCGACUUCGGAAGGGAUGUAUUUGUUAGAUUAAAAGCCAAUGCCCUCCGGGGCCUCCUGGUGAUUCAUGACAACUUCUCGAAUCGCACGGCCUUGCGCCGGCGAUGGUUCAUUCAAAUUUCUGCCCUAUCAACUUUCGACGGCUGGGUCUUGGCCAGCCGUGGUGACAACGGGUAACGGAGGGUUAGGGCUCGACCCCGGAGAAGGAGCCUGAGAAACGGCUACUACAUCCAAGGAAGGCAGCAGGCGCGCAAAUUACCCAAUCCCGACACGGGGAGGUAGUGACAAUAAAUACUGAUACAGGGCUCUUUUGGGUCUUGUAAUUGGAAUGAGUACAAUUUAAUUCCCUUAACGAGGAACAAUUGGAGGGCAAGUCUGGUGCCAGCAGCCGCGGUAAUUCCAGCUCCAAUAGCGUAUAUUAAAGUUGUUGCAGUUAAAAAGCUCGUAGUUGAACCUUGGGCCUGGCUGGCCGGUCCGCCUCACCGCGUGCACUGGUCCGGCCGGGCCUUUCCCUCUGGGGAGCCGCAUGCCCUUCGCUGGGCGUGCCGGGGAACCAGGACGUUUACUUUGAAAAAAUUAGAGUGUUCAAAGCAGGCUUAUGCUCGGAUACAUUAGCAUGGAAUAAUGGAAUAGGACGCGCGGUUCUAUUUUGUUGGUUUCUAGGACCGCCGUAAUGAUCAAUAGGGACAGUCGGGGGCAUCAGUAUUCCGUUGUCAGAGGUGAAAUUCUUGGAUUUACGGAAGACUAACUACUGCGAAAGCAUUUGCCAAGGAUGUUUUCAUUAAUCAGGAACGAAAGUUAGGGGAUCGAAGACGAUCAGAUACCGUCGUAGUCUUAACCAUAAACUAUGCCGACUAGGGAUCGGACGGUGUUAUCUUUUGACCCGUUCGGCACCUUACCACGAAAGUACAUAGUUUCUGGGUUCUGGGGGGGGGAGUCAACUCGGUCGCAAGGCUGAAACUUAAAGAUUUGUUGAGCCGGAAGAAAAAACUACUCACCGACAGAAACU